UACGUAGGGUGCAAGCGUUGUUCGGAAUUACUGGGCGUAAAGGGCGCGUAGGCGGCCUUCUAAGUCGGACGUGAAAUCCCUCGGCUUAACCGAGGAACUGCGUCCGAUACUGAAAGGCUUGAAUCCGGGAGAGGGAUGCGGAAUUCCAGGUGUAGCGGUGAAAUGCGUAGAUAUCUGGAGGAACACCGGUGGCGAAGGCGGCAUCCUGGACCGGCAUUGACGCUGAGGCGCGAAAGCCAGGGGAGCAAACGGG
rnacentral:rRNA from 1 species